rnacentral:rRNA from 1 species
ACAUAUUUUAGAGCUGAAUUCAAUUUGGUAAAAUUACCAAAGUUACUUUUAAGUCUAGAAUAUAAUUGUUUUAAUCAAUCGAAUAUAUUGCUAUUUUUAAUAAAAUACUACCCAUAACAGACUUUUGUAUAAACAGCACCUUGAUUUAAUUAGUUUUAUUAAAAUUUUUGAAAAUUUUUUAUAAAAAAUUUCUUAAAAUAACGAUAUACAAAUUUAAAAUAACAAAAGAAAAAUAUCAUCGUGGUGUAUCGAUUACAGUACAGGUCUCCCUAACAAGAUAUAAAAUACCGUCAAAUUUUUUGGGUUUCA